AUCAGACAGUCCAAUGUAAAUCUUUCUGGUUUUCCAGGAUAUUUCCUUUUCAGAGGCUGGCAUAUGUUGUCAUAUAACACUUUCCAUUUUUUUCAGAAUCAAGUGUAGGGAAGGAAAGGACUCAGAUUACUUCACCAGGCUUUGAAUCAAGCUCUUCGGCUCUGUGGGACUUUGAAUAAAGCUGAGUGAUAGAGAUUGUAAGAAGAGGCAAAAGAUUCUCAAGUUGGAUGAAGUUUCUAAAAGGACCGACAUGGAAAAAAUGGCCAGCAUCCAUAUUGGAUUAGGCAGAAGACUCCUCUAAUUCAGUGUUCUGCUUCUACUGAGUGAGCAACCUGUGCUCACAGCAGACUGGGAUUCCACAGUGAAGCAGUUUCCAUGGCAAAAUGGAUUACAAAUGCUGCUAACACCAGUUCUGUGGCUCAACUCCUCCUUCCCCUGACUUUUCGUAAAUGGUGGUUCGUGGCAGAUGAGAGGAAUAAUUCCAUCUCCUCUCCACUUUGAAGAAUCAACAAGCAUCGGAAAACCCAGAGAUGGAACAUAUGCCUCCCAAACAGCAAAAAGUGAGCAUCUUUUCAGAAAGGGCAUAAUGGAAGGAGAAAAGAGAGAACUCAAGGAUGAACAGACUGGGAAGAUCAAAAACAGAAUGGGACUAGACUAAGAAGACAGAGUUCAGCUGGUAACAGACCUGAAGUUCACAGACCUCACAGACGGAAAACCCUUGAUAUAAAUCAGAUUUCUGGAGUUGAAAACCUGUGGAAGUAAGAAGUUGCAGUGAACCGGAAAUAUGCCAAAAAAUAUUUCUGUAUCUCAGUCAAGGGCAAACAACCUCCUAAAAUGAACUAUCUUGAUCACUUGCCGUUAUAUAGCCAUACUAUGAGGCUACUUCAACUGUAUUUUACUGCUCAGAUAUUCCAUUCAUAGUUAAUAACCAUUCAAAUGAAGGGGGUGCAAGCAACACCUCUGGCAGUAUCUGUAUUGCACACUAAAUACAAGAGAAUACAAAAGAUAUGCUUCAUCAAAACCAAAUUUGAACCAUUUACAUAAUGGUGCGAAGAAAAGACAAAAAAGCAAACAAUUAAAAAUAAGAUAUACUUAUGUAAUACUAAUCGUUAUGAAUUAAUAAGCAAUUGAUCUCAGGAUCCCCACAGGUCUGCAGCCUUUCUCAUUAAAUAUUUCCUGAAAGUAUGUCUAAUAUUCUAAAUAUUCCUUUUGACAGUAUUUCUAUGUAGAAUAUAUAUGCUUUUUCUAUAAUGGACUGUAGCAAAGUACAAGCAACAUAGGAUUGGAUUAAAGUGAUAUCCUCCAGUACAGAAAAACAAGAAUCUGGACAGGCCCGUAUUCUAAGGUGGACAAACAAAAGACAAUACUCAAGAUUUUUUAAGAAUGGACUUUGUUCAUUUACUGGAAAGUUAGCAUCAGAAGAGACUGCUAUGGUAACUUGCAGAGCUGGAGGAGAGAGUGCUGCUAAAACAGCCUCAUGUAAAGUACAAUCCUGAUUGCGUUGUGGGGAAACACCUGCACAGCCUUCCUGCCACAGUGCACCUGUGUCCAGCCUCACCACAGGACAAUACCUGAAGACCUAGAAUGUAAUUUCCAGCAGCCAUUUUCAGACCUGGGUUCAUAUUUUAUAUUUCAGAUUUGCCAAAGAUCUGUCUUGUAAUGCUUCCAUGAAUAUUAAUAAAAAGAAUUAAAAGUAGCUAUUCAUUUUCCACUAGUCAUUUGCUGCAAUUUUCCGACAAUUACCAUACUCUGUAAUAGUGUUAUGCUAUAAUUCUGCUGUCAAUAUUUUGUAAAGAUUAUUUGUUUGCGUUUUGUUAAGUGCACACAAACUUGAAAUAGACAUUUCUAUAGCUAAAUGGAUGCUAUGGCUUGUGCAGUUGCUUAUACACUGUUUCCUAUCUGAGAUCAGAUCAUGCUUCUUCCAUAGAAGAUAACUUCAUAAAGUUCAAGUCAAACAACUGGUAUCAGUGAAGUGCUUGACGGAAGCUUCAGAUUAGAGCUGGUGAAAGUGUUAAGCCACAGUGUGGUCCAGAAAGAAGUAAAAAGAAUAUUUCAUUUAUUUUAGCCAUCAAAACCCUAGCUAAAUAAAUAAAAUUGAUAAAAUAAGACAGGCUGCAGGGUCUUUUCCUAUUCCAGUAGAAAAGAAAAUGUAGGUAUAAGAUGCUAAGAUCUACAUUUUCUAAAAUCUCAAAGAAUACUGCAAUCAGAAGUUAUGAAUACAGAAAAUGCUUGUGGUUUAAUUAUUUUUUAAACUAUAAAACUACGCUUUGAUAAAUAUACUCUUUAACUCUCCAUUAUGUUAUUUACAAUGCUGCCAUUUCCAACCGACAGCAUUCAUAUUUGUAACUAUGUUAAGAUGUUAUUCACCAUUUCAUAACUCUCUGAAUAAACGUUUAACUGCUUCAAUGUACAGCAUAUUCUUCUAAACAAAGGUAGUAAUUAGUAAUGUGCAUGAUCUUGUGAUUACCAAUAAAGGAGAAUCCAUCUUUCUUUAGGAAAGUAGCUAAAAUCUAAAAUAUGUAGACCAGCAUUAAAAUCAAAGUUUCUGACUGUCACAUUGAAGACUCAUUCUGACAACAUAAAUAUAUUGAAUUUAAAUCAAUCAGUAUGCUGUUAUACAUUACCAGACAAUUUUGCUUUUGUGUCAUUUGACCACAAUAAAUUGUUACUACAAAGUAGACCUCACACAUCGUUUUGCAAGAUGGGAUCGUGUAAUAGCCUAUUGACACACUAGGCUGUAUGGUAAAAUAGCGGCAUGAUGCUCUUGGCACUCAUGAACGCUGUUCAUUUAGCAUUUUUAAGUUAAACACAAAUUCCUGGUUGGUUUGUUUGUUUUAACAUAAGGGGGACUUGUAUUUUAAAUAUAGUAUUUGACUUGAGGCAAACAAAUACUUUUUCUAUCGGAUUGUAAUUACUUAUUCUGAUAGUCCUUCAAAUACUUCAUAAAGGAAUAAAUCAAUGGUAGUUACAUACAAGCCUAGGAUCUAGCAUGAAAAGAAACUGCAUGUAAAGAAGCAUGCAUACUGGAUAAUAAAAACAGUCUGUGA